AUACGGAGGGUGCAAGCGUUGUCCGGAUUUAUUGGGUUUAAAGGGUGCGUAGGUGGUUUUUUAAGUCAGUGGUGAAAGCCUACAGCUUAACUGUAGAUGCGCCAUUGAAACUGGGGAACUUGAGUAUGGACGAGGUAGGCGGAAUUUGUGGUGUAGCGGUGAAAUGCAUAGAUACCACAAAGAACACCGAUAGCGAAGGCAGCUUACUAGGCCAUAACUGACGCUGAGGCACGAAAGCGUGGGGAGCGAACAGGAUUAGAAACCCCGGUAGUCC
rnacentral:rRNA from 1 species